AGAGUUUAUAUUUGGGUUAUGGUUUAGAGAUUAGAGUUUAGGGUUUAGUAUUUAGAAGGUAAAGGGGUAUGGUUAGGGUCAGUUUUAACUUCUUCAAUGCAAUCAUAUACAUUUCAUAAUUUUACCAAUAUGUACUAUGUUUUUUUUUGUUCCAUUAUAUUCUAUUUGGGUUUAGGGUUUAUAUUUGGAUUUAGAAUUUAAAUUUUAUUAAGAGUUUAGUUAUUAGAGUUUAGUGAUCAGAGUUUAGAGUUUAGUAUUUAGAAUGUGAGGGGGUAUGGUUGGGGUCAACAUUAACUUCUGUUAUUCAAUCAUAGACAUUUCAUAAUUUCACCAAUAUGUACUAUGUUAUUUUUUUUGUUCAUUCUAUUUGGGUUUUGGGUUUAUAUUUGAGUUUAGGUUUUAGUGAUAAGAGUUUAGGAUUUAGUAUUUUGGAGUUGGGAUAAUGUUUAGUAUUUAGAUGUUGUGAAUGUAGUUAUAAUUUUUAUUUGAGUUUGUUUAACGAUUGAGAUUUAAGAUUUAGUUUUUAGAUGUUGGGGUCGGAUAAUGUUUAGUACUUAGGUGUUGCAUAGUGAUUGAGAUUUAGGGUUUAGUAUAUAGGGGUUGGGAUAAUGUUUAGUAUUUAGGGUUAUAAAUGGAUUUAUAAUUUUAUACUAUUUCAGCGAUAUAGAAUACAUUCGGUGUAUAUAUAUAUAU
rnacentral:lncRNA from 1 species